GCGAGGCUCGCUUAUUGGUAAAGCCCAGCAACGGUAUGCCGCUGACUGAUAACCGGGUUCGAUUCCCGGGCCCCGCACCA
rnacentral:tRNA from 1 species